CCAGGUCGGUGUGUUCAAUAUACUUAUUGAUUUAUUAACAUCAGAAUCAAUAAAUGAUUCAGACAAGCUUUUGAAUCUGAUCAUAUAUAAUAAGUAAAUAUAUAGUUACAAAUAGAUUUUUCAUAUUAUUAAAGAUUCACAUUGAAACCUGAAUUGUCCUGAUUUUAUUUUGACGGCACACUGUCAGCACUUCCUGUGUGCAGGUGGCAGUUUGUGUUUGGUGUCGACUGACGGUCUGACCGGUUCCACCAGAAAAACACUACCAGCUUCAUGUGACUCAAGAACAGAUCAAUCAAUACAGACCCAUCACUAAUCAAUAAAGAACGUAUAUAUCAAUAAUAAUUAUAUUACAAGAACAUUUGUCAGAGAGUUAAAGGUGUAAAAUAUUGUUCGAAUGUUAUUAGUGAAUAAAAAUAAACUCACACAGGAAGUGAAGAUGAAUGCUUUUAUUGUGAAAUGGGAUACUUGGUAUAAAGUAUAAAAACAAACAAAAGUUUUUUUUUAACAAAAUCAAACAUUAAAUGAUCAUAAAACUGAUUUUACAAAAUAAAAUGUUGAACAAUGAACCAACCAAAACAGGAAGUCCCUACAAAUAAAACAGGAAGUAGUUUAAGAUUUAAUGAAGACCAUGAGAGAGAAAGUGGGCGGGGUUAUAAACAAUGUGGGAGGAGUUAUAAUCUGAAAUAUUUUCCUCUGUGUUGCAGAAAAGUUUCCACGCCGGCUUGAAGCAGAGAAGUUUUCUGCCGAUGAGGAAAUUAUGAUGAUAAAUGCGUUUGUGGGAGAAGAUAAUGAUGUUGGAUUUUGCACGAACGGGCUGAAAAAUGGUUCAGAGGUUUCAUCACAGACGGGAAAAAUAACUUUGGAUGUUUGAAAUGUUUCAAUUUGUUUCCAGAGCAGCUGCAGGAGGUCCAACCUGCUGUUUAAAGCGGAUUGAUACACAUUACUUUAUCUGUAGAUAUAUUGAUCUAUUGAUAGUUAUUGUUAGUAUGUUUGUAUAAAAUGAAAUAUUAUCUGAAACCAGGUUGGUGCUCAGAAACACGUCUGGAAAGCUGGUUCCAGAACAACGUCCUAAGCCCCGCCCAUAUUGCUCUGUGCUCCAAUAGCAGUUGAGCCUCAACUUCCUCCUUUCCUGUACUUAGAUAUGCUAUGCUAGGCUAAUCUAUGUUGAAAAGACAACAACAUUUUGAAGAUGGUUAAAAUAACAACAAUAUAUAUAGUCACAUCUUAAGUUAGCUAAUUAGCUAAGUUUGUUAUAUUUGAAAGCUUAUGUUAGUAAAUGCUAGCUAAUCGUUAGUUAGCAUACACCAGAAAGUGAAAAUGUAACAUUAGCUUUAAGUCGACGAUACGAGGUGACGGGAACUGGAGA
rnacentral:lncRNA from 15 species